rnacentral:tRNA from 1 species
CAAAAUAUAGCUUAUAUUUAAAGUGAGUUAGUUACAUUAAUUUGAAGACUUAUAAUUAAGUUUAUUUUGA